rnacentral:rRNA from 1 species
UACGUAGGGUGCGAGCGUUGUCCGGAAUUAUUGGGCGUAAAGAGCUCGUAGGCGGUCUGUCGCGUCGGAUGUGAAAACCCGGGGCUCAACUCCGGGCUUGCAUUCGAUACGGGCGGACUAGAGUUCGGUAGGGGAGACUGGAAUUCCUGGUGUAGCGGUGAAAUGCGCAGAUAUCAGGAGGAACACCGGUGGCGAAGGCGGGUCUCUGGGCCGAUACUGACGCUGAGGAGCGAAAGCGUGGGGAGCAAACAGG